GAUCACUUGCAUUACGGAACACGAAAUUAUUGUUUCUCAUCAGAAAAAAAGAGACAAACAGAAGGUCUGUCAGAGGCAUCAAACCACAAUGAGAGAUACACGUCUCGAGUCAAGGCAACAUGAAAAUAUAUCCGAGAUCUCAGAAGCAGUCCCCAAACUACCAAUCAGGAGGAGACGCAGCAUGUAUCUGCCUCCACAAUUGGGAGGAGAGACCCCAGAUACAGACCCACCACUACCACAGGAUGAAGCUUCUGCUGUGGUCCCUGUACUCAGGAGGAGAGGCAGCAUGCAUCUAGCUCUAGACAGUGAGUAACCAACUCUGUUAAAACACCUGAACAUCUCACCAUUAAUCUCCUGUCCUUGUAUCUUCUACCCUACUGUGUGUUCAGUUUCAUGGUGAUCCUAGAGUUCAGGUUUCAUUUACAUUUACAUUUAGUCAUUUAGCAGACGCUCUUAUCCAGAGCGACUUACAGUAAGUACAGGGACAUUCCCCCGAGGCAAGUAGGGUGAAGUGCCUUGCCCAAGGACACAACGUCAUCUGACUCCCCAUUACAUUUUUAUAUCAUAUACACACAGUUAUUAAAAACCUAAAACUCUUCUUAACUAUGGCGGAGUGGAUGAUCUAAGGGAAGCACUCCCUGCCUCCUCGAUGCAACACAUCGAGGAGGCACUACUGACGUGAGGGUCACCCUGGACAUUCAUACCAGAUGUUCACCUGUGGAGAGGCAGAGGAAAGAGGAGGAGGAGGAGGUCAGGAAGAGAAUGGAGGAGGUGACUAGGAUGCAGGAGGAGGAGAGGAAGAAGAGAGAAGAGGAGAGGAAGAGGAGAGAGGAGGAGGAGAGAGGAGGAGGAGGAGAAUAAGAAGAGAGAGGAGAUAUUGGCCCAGCAGAGACUGAAUGAAAAGGCAAAACGUAGGGAAAAAAGUCAGAAAAUAAAAAAAGGUGUGCUAUCAACUGCUGGAACUACAGGUGGAGUUGCUCUCAUAGCUGGGACUGCAGCACUUGCUGCUGCUUGAUGUCAUAAACACAUUCUGUUCUAAGGUCUAUUUGGGAAAUAUUCAGUAGUGCAUCUCCAACAACUUGAAAUUGCAUGUGUAGUAACAAAGCAUUUAUAUCAAAUUAUAUAUACUUAUGAAUGUGUUAUGGAACAGCUCCUUUCACAUUGUAAUCUAGUUAAAACCGGCUCAUAGUAGUUUUUGGUUUUAUAUGCUGGUGUUGAUGUUACAUGUUGUGAUGUAUUUUGUUGUUAACUAAUGGAAACUAUCUAAUCACUUAGUCUAAUGAGGGGUACUCAAUACUGGGUUAUUUGUUUAAAUGCUUGUAGCAUUUGAUUAACAUCUGUGUUUGUUAUGACGUAAAAAAAUUCCAUCAAUUUUUACUAUUUCUUCACUGUCAUACACUUUGUUGAAUGAAGACAUUCAUAGAGAUGACAGACAACCUGAAAUAAACUAUCAUCAUUUUA